rnacentral:rRNA from 1 species
AGUGGGGGAUAACUAGUCGAAAGAUUAGCUAAUACCGCAUACGACCUGAGGGUGAAAGCGGGGGACCGCAAGGCCUCGCGCUACAGGAGCGGCCGAUGUCUGAUUAGCUAGUUGGUGGGGUAAAAGCCUACCAAGGCGACGAUCAGUAGCUGGUCUGAGAGGACGAUCAGCCACACUGGGACUGAGACACGGCCCAGACUCCUACGGGAGGCAGCAGUGGGGAAUUUUGGACAAUGGGGGCAACCCUGAUCCAGCAAUGCCGCGUGUGUGAAGAAGGCCUUCGGGUUGUAAAGCACUUUUGUCCGGAAAGAAAUGGCCNGGGAUAAUACCCCGGGUCGAUGACGGUACCGGAAGAAUAAGCACCGGCUAACUACGUGCCAGCAGCCGCGGUAAUACGUAGGGUGCGAGCGUUAAUCGGAAUUACUGGGCGUAAAGCGUGCGCAGGCGGUUUUGUAAGACAGGCGUGAAAUCCCCGAGCUCAACUUGGGAAUGGCGCUUGUGACUGCAAGGCUAGAGUAUGUCAGAGGGGGGUAGAAUUCCACGUGUAGCAGUGAAAUGCGUAGAGAUGUGGAGGAAUACCGAUGGCGAAGGCAGCCCCCCUGGGACGUCACUGACGCUCAUGCACGAAAGCGUGGGGAGCCAACAGGAUUAGAUACCCUGGUUAGUCC